rnacentral:rRNA from 1 species
AGUGAACGCUGGCGGUAGGCCUAACACAUGCAAGUCGAACGGCAGCACAGUAAGAGCUUGCUCUUACGGGUGGCGAGUGGCGGACGGGUGAGGAAUACAUCGGAAUCUACUUUUUCGUGGGGGAUAACGUAGGGAAACUUACGCUAAUACCGCAUACGACCUACGGGUGAAAGCAGGGGAUCUUCGGACCUUGCGCGAUUGAAUGAGCCGAUGUCGGAUUAGCUAGUUGGCGGGGUAAAGGCCCACCAAGGCGACGAUCCGUAGCUGGUCUGAGAGGAUGAUCAGCCACACUGGAACUGAGACACGGUCCAGACUCCUACGGGAGGCAGCAGUGGGGAAUAUUAGACAAUGGGCGCAAGCCUGAUCCAGCCAUACCGCGUGGGUGAAGAAGGCCUUCGGGUUGUAAAGCCCUUUUGUUGGGAAAGAAAAGCAGCAGGUUAAUACCCAGCUGUUCUGACGGUACCCAAAGAAUAAGCACCGGCUAACUUCGUG